CCUACGGGAGGCAGCAGUGGGGAAUAUUGGGCAAUGGGCGCAAGCCUGACCCAGCAACGCCGCGUGAAGGAAGAAGGCUUUCGGGUUGUAAACUUCUUUUCUCAGGGACGAAGCAAGUGACGGUACCUGAGGACUAAGCCACGGCUAACUACGUGCCAGCAGCCGCGGUAAUACGUAGGUGGCAAGCGUUAUCCGGAUUUACUGGGUGUAAAGGGCGUGUAGGCGGGAAAGCAAGUCAGAUGUGAAAACCAUGGGCUCAACCUGUGGCCUGCCUUUGAAACUGUUUUUCUUGAGUACUGGAGAGGCAGACGGAAUUCCUAGUGUAGCGGUGAAAUGCGUAGAUAUUAGGAGGAACACCAGUGGCGAAGGCGGUCUGCUGGACAGCAACUGACGCUGAGGCGCGAAAGCGUGGGGAGCAAACAGGAUUAGAUACCCCGGUAGUC
rnacentral:rRNA from 1 species